rnacentral:rRNA from 1 species
UACGUAGGGGGCGAGCGUUGUCCGGAAUCAUUGGGCGUAAAGCGCGUGUAGGCGGCCCGGUAAGUCCGCUGUGAAAGUCCAGGGCUCAACCCUGGGAUGCCGGUGGAUACUGUCGGGCUCGAGUCCGGAAGAGGCGAGUGGAAUUCCUGGUGUAGCGGUGAAAUGCGCAGAUAUCGGGAGGAAGGCCGGUGGCGAAGGCGGCGCUCUGGAACGUUCCUGACGCUGAGGCUCGAAAGCGUGGGGAGCAAACAGG